GUGGUUGUGGCUUAGCGGUAGAGCGCUUGCCUUGUAUGUGCGGGGCCCUGGGUUCGAUCCUCAGCACCACA
rnacentral:tRNA from 1 species